GAUGAACGCUGGCGGCGUGCCUAAUACAUGCAAGUCGAGCGAACGGACGAGAAGCUUGCUUCUCUGAUGUUAGCGGCGGACGGGUGAGUAACACGUGGAUAACCUACCUAUAAGACUGGGAUAACUUCGGGAAACCGGAGCUAAUACCGGAUGAUAUUUUGAACCGCAUGGUUCAAAAGUGAAAGACGGUCUUGCUGUCACUUAUAGAUGGAUCCGCGCUGCAUUAGCUAGUUGGUAAGGUAACGGCUUACCAAGGCAACGAUGCAUAGCCGACCUGAGAGGGUGAUCGGCCAGCCUGGAUCUGAGGCACGGUCCAGACUCCUACGGGAGGCCGCAGUAGAGAAUCCUCCGCGAUGGACGAGAGCCUGACGGAGCAACGCCGCGUGAGUGAUGAAGGUCUUCGGAUCGUAAAACUCUGUUAUUAGGGAAGAACAUAUGUGUAAGUAACUGUGCACAUCUUGACGGUACCUAAUCAGAAAGCCACGGCUAACUACGUG
rnacentral:rRNA from 1 species